rnacentral:rRNA from 1 species
UACAGAGGUCUCGAGCGUUUGUUCGGAUUCAUUGGGCGUAAAGGGCGCGUAGGCGGCGGGGUAAGUCUGGUGUGAAAUCUCGGAGCUCAACUCCGAAAUUGCACUGGAUACUGCUCUGCUAGAGGGCUGGAGAGGAGAUCGGAAUUCACGGUGUAGCAGUGAAAUGCGUAGAUAUCGUGAGGAAGACCAGUGGCGAAGGCGGAUCUCUGGACAGCUCCUGACGCUGAGGCGCGAAGGCUAGGGGAGCAAACAGG